rnacentral:rRNA from 1 species
AGUGGCAGACGGGUGAGUAAUGUAUAGGAAUCUACCUAGUAGUACGGAAUAAUUGUUGGAAACGGCAACUAAUACCGUAUACGCCCUACGGGGGAAAAAUUUAUUGCUAUUAGGUGAGCCUAUAUUAGAUUAGUUAGUUGGUGAGGUAAAGGCUUACCAAGACAAUGAUCUAUAGCUGAUCUGAGAGGAUGAUCAGCCACACUGGAACUGAGAUACGGUCCAGACUCCUACGGGAGGCAGCAGUGGGGAAUAUUGGACAAUGGGCGAAAGCCUGAUCCAGCUAUGCCGCAUGAGUGAAGAAGGCCUUCGGGUUGUAAAGCUCUUUUAGUGAGGAAGAUAAUGACGGUACUCACAGAAGAAGUCCUGGCUAACUCCGUGCCAGCAGCCGCGGUAAUACGGAGAGGGCUAGCGUUAUUCGGAAUUAUUGGGCGUAAAGGGCGCGUAGGCGGAUUAGUAAGUUAAAAGUGAAAUCCCAAGGCUCAACCUUGGAAUUGCUUUUAAAACUGCUAAUCUAGAGAUUGAAAGAGGAUAGAGGAAUUCCUAGUG